rnacentral:rRNA from 1 species
AACGAACGCUGGCGGCAUGCCUAACACAUGCAAGUCGAACGAGACCUUCGGGUCUAGUGGCGCACGGGUGCGUAACGCGUGGGAAUCUGCCCUUGGGUUCGGAAUAACAGUUAGAAAUGACUGCUAAUACCGGAUAAUGUCUUCGGACCAAAGAUUUAUCGCCCAGGGAUGAGCCCGCGUAGGAUUAGCUAGUUGGUGAGGUAAAGGCUCACCAAGGCGACGAUCCUUAGCUGGUCUGAGAGGAUGAUCAGCCACACUGGGACUGAGACACGGCCCAGACUCCUACGGGAGGCAGCAGUGGGGAAUAUUGGACAAUGGGCGAAAGCCUGAUCCAGCAAUGCCGCGUGAGUGAUGAAGGCCUUAGGGUUGUAAAGACUCUUUUACCCGGGAUGAUAAUGACAGUACCGGGAGAAUAAGCCCCGGCUAACUCCGUGCCAGCAGCCGCGGU